rnacentral:misc_RNA from 1 species
GGGGAAAAGCCCAAGAAGAAGAAAGGAUGGGUGAAGAGAAAGGAAUUUCCAAAUUUGAGUCAAACUCUCAUAAAGUCCCUCUCCUGGAAAACAGAAGUGUGGAUGUGUAGCAUUCUUGCGUUGUACAUAAACAAUAUUGAGUAGAUAUUUGAUAACUCGCAGAGUAUGCAGAUUUAUGUAUUCUUAACCACAGUUUCGGUAAAAUAGAAAAUAUCAGAGGUGGACCUAGUUUGACAAUGUAUUGAGCAAUGACGGGGUCUUGUCCUGGAAAAAGAACCGAAGGAAACUUGGUCAUGCAACAGGGACAGGACAUCGAAUGUUGUUAUAACAUGACUUUGUCAUAACAUAUAAUGCCAAGUUCCCAACCCAUU